rnacentral:rRNA from 1 species
UCGGGAAUUUUGGGCAAUGGGCGAAAGCCUGACCCAGCAACGCCGCGUGAAGGAUGAAGUAUUUCGGUAUGUAAACUUCGAAAGAAUAGGAAGAAUAAAUGACGGUACUAUUUAUAAGGUCCGGCUAACUACGUGCCAGCAGCCGCGGUAAUACAGAGGUGGCAAGCGUUGUUCGGAAUUACUGGGCGUAAAGCGCGUGUAGGCGGCUCUUCAAGUCAGGCGUGAAAGCCCCAGGCUCAACCUGGGAAAUGCGUUUGAUACUGUCGAGCUAGAGUGUGGAAGGGGCGAUUGGAAUUCCGUGUGUAGCGGUGAAAUGCGUAGAUAUACGGAGGAACACCAGAGGCGAAGGCGGAUCGCUGGGCCAACACUGACGCUGAGACGCGAAAGCUAGGGUAGCAAACGGGAUUAGAUACCCCAGUAGUCCCUGAGCGGGCUGGCAAGGCGCAU